UGUAGCAACGUUAACGCUUUUUUUUUGGAAUCUAACGUAUAAAUUUAACAGUUAGCUGCCACUAAAAAAGCUAUUACAUGUUACAAUAAUCGUCAUCAACAAAUAAUAAUACUGAUCGUUUUUAUAAAUUAAACACACUGAAUCAUAUUUUAGCAUAGACACUAUUCAAUAGUUGUGGUAUACACCAUACACUAUCCAAAAAUAAUGAAUUAUUUUCAACCGGGAAUAUGCGGCAAAUAGAUCAUGCGUUUCACGUCUAAAAACUUACUACGAUUUGUACUGGUUCCAUGUGUUUACGUUCAUAACUGGAUUAUUGAGUGUCAUAUUUAUCAUAUUGCUACAGGGAAAAAAUGUUUACAGAUAUUAUAAUUAAAAAUUUAGUUUGUAAUGUAGCGGCGACACCGUCUACUAGGUACCUAUAUCGGUGCUUGAGAAAAUUCUAUACUGGUUUGGAAGGGCGAGUUCGAUGAAGUUCUUGUGACGCGACGUUGUGCGUAAUACGAUAUAUAUAUAUAUAUAUAAUGCAUCGGCGGCUGCCUAGCUAAAACCAACUAGUCUUUCCGCAACAUACAACGCGCAUCUACACUUCAAUACUUCGUAUAUUGUUCUGUUAUUUUCCUUUUUAUACACGUUCGUAUUAUUCUG